UAGAGUGUGGUAUCAAGUCUCCUUAUGUGGUGGCUCGUGGUCCACAGGUGUGCCCCUCGAAUCUCCCCAACAAUUGGUAUCAGAGCCAGGUUCGGAGUUGGUGACCGGCUCAAAACGAGUAUGCAAGUACCGCAGGUGGUCAGAAUGGCUAGCGGCACAGCGUACCCCGCAGGUGAAGCGGGGUGGCCAGAAUGGCUAGCGGGCAGGGCAAGUACCGCAGGUGGCCAUAGCUAUACUCGUGGAUGAUAAAGACUUCCGAGGGAGAGACUACCAUGUGGAAGAGACUCACACUUGAGGGGGAGACGUGUUGGGUUACAAGUGUGAGGUGAAGUUCCACAUCGAGUAGAAAUGAAAAGGUUGAGCACAAUAUAAGUGAGGAGAAGACCUAUAAACUUGAGCCUUAAGGUUUUGGGUUAGAGUGUGGUGUCAGGUCUCCUUAUGUGGUGGCUUAUGGUCCACAGGUGUACCCCUCGAAUCUCCCCAACAGUCGGCUAAGGUUGCCAAGAAUUCUUACAAAAAUGAGCAAAGGAAUCAAUUGUGAUUAGCAAAGGGGAGGUAAAAAUUGCAUCUGUAGGCUCUUCUUAGAUGUGGUUUAAUGCUGAUGACUCAAAUGGUUUGCCUGAAUUAAGAAAGAAUUACAACUAUAUAAUAAUUGCUCGGCCCUUGCUAUAUGGAUGCAGGGAUGUGCCGGUAGAUGAACGUGCAAUUAUGACAACUUUCUCUUUCUUUUUCCUCCUUUUAAGAUCUUUUGAAUUUUUUACAAUUAUAGUUACUGCUUUAUGUAUCAAAAUUGAGUGCUUUUUCUUAUGCAUCAAUAUAGGCCUCUGAUUUUGUGGCAAAAGCUGUGGAUUUAGCAGCCAGAGAAUUAAUAGCAAUUGCAUCACCAGGACAAGGUUUAAUCUGCGUUGCUUUUUGUCUCUUGCUGUGAAUCCUGGUAUGUGGCAAAUUAAAUAUAGGCUUCCUGACUCCAUCUAUUUAUAAUUUUACCCUUGCUGACUACAAACCAAUAUCAGCAGUUAAAGGAACUUGGAUGGAUGGUGAAAGUCUCAAUGCUGUACUUCAUCUAUUUAUAAUUGGUUCUGAUGUUUCUUCACCUGGAAAAUUAACUUAUUUUUUGUUCGAACAACGUUUGGGAUGUUACCUCCUUCAUGUUAGAGGGGAUAUAGCAAGGGUAUUAAUCUUGAACUACUUGCUUUGCCUGAUGACGACGUUCCUAAAUUACCCCUUCAUAUCGGUUGUGGAUUGGGACUUAGAGGUGAGACAAUCUCGGAGAAUGGACACCAUUGGAUUGGGCUUGAUAUUUCAGCAUCAAUGCUUAUCAUUCUGGCAGUCACAUAAUAGAGCACUUGCCAGAAGAAUCCAGAUCCAGGAAGAUUGGUAGAUUUACUGGAGAGAGCUAGAGUUUCAUUGCAGAUGAUAAGAUAUUUGGCCUUAGAUGAGGCAGAUAGAAUGCUGGAUAUAGGUUUCGAGCCACAAAUAAGGAAGAUUGUAGAACAAGUGGACAUGCCCCCAGCAGGUGCCAGACAGACUAUGUUGUUCAGUGCUACAUUUCCAAGAGAUACAGAGACUUGCCUCUGAUUUCCUUUCAAAUUAUAUUUUUCUGGCUGUUGGAAGAAUGGGCUCAGGUACUGAUUUAAUUGUCCAAAGAGUUGAGUAUGUUCAAGAAUCUGACAAGACAAGUCACCUCAUGGAUCUUCUUCAUGCACAGAAGGCAAACGGUGUACAAGGAAAGGUUUUGAUAUGUCGAAUUGGUUGCCUUGAGCAGCCAAUGUUAACAUAAUAACAUGCAUACACAGGAAAUGAUGUUGGAAGAAAAUUUUUGCUUGAUGGAGAGGUCACUAUUGACACAAUUACCGUACUCUUCUCUUUCUUCCUGCUUAGGGGGCACUGUUCAUUGUCAUGGAACAUGCAUAAAUGCUUUUUUCUAUGUUUUAGAAAGUCUUGGAAGAGAUUGUGGUAAAAAUUUGUAUUAAAAAUAAAAGUCAGCGAAAGACCAAUAGAUACAUAGAUUUAACAUGCAGACAGAGAGAGUUCCUUAUUUUUCUAUCAAAAAAUAGAUACAAAGAGUCUCACAUGACAUAAUCAAUGAUGCAAUGAAAAUCUUCUGGUUUCUGUAACAA